rnacentral:rRNA from 1 species
CCUACGGGUGGCUGCAGUGAGGAAUAUUGGUCAAUGGACGGAAGUCUGAACCAGCCAUGCCGCGUGCAGGAGGACGGCUCUAUGAGUUGUAAACUGCUUUUGUCUAAGGGUAAAGCUCAAUACGUGUAUUCCGCUGAAUGUACCUUACGAAUAAGGAUCGGCUAACUCCGUGCCAGCAGCCGCGGUAAUACGGAGGAUCCAAGCGUUAUCCGGAUUUAUUGGGUUUAAAGGGUGCGUAGGCGGUUUGAUAAGUGAGAGGUGAAAGGUCCGGGCUUAACGCGGGACCUGCCGGUAAUACUGUUGGUCUAGAGUGUAGAAGCGGUAGGCGGAAUGUGUGGUGUAGCGGUGAAAUGCUUAGAGAUCAUACAGAACACCGAUUGCGAAGGCAGCUUGCCGAGCUAUAUCUGACGCUGAGGCACGAAAGCGUGGGGAGCAAACAGGAUUAGAUACCCUUGUAGUC